GCCCGCAGUGUGGUGUGGCUGGAUACUGGUGCGAAAAUCUCAUCAUAAUCCUCUCCGUACUUUUGGGAAUAUCCCUGUGCAACCAGACGAGCUUUAUACUUAGUGAUGCCUCCAGCUGCGUUUCUCUUCAGUUUAUAUACCCAGCGACAUCCAACCGCUUUUCGUCCAGCAGCUUUCCUUUUCUUCGCAGCAAAACUUCCUUGAAUGCUUGGAAAUUCGUCUGCGCGUUCAAGAGCCUCGUAGCGGUUUUGUUUUUGAUGUUUCGUUGUCGAUUCCACUCCGGGCAAGUUGAAUCAGCUGUGCGGUGAUCCGACUCAACUCUACAGUAGAGGCGGUUCAUUUUAUGUGGGCAUUCGUCCGUUCCUGUUCCUUCGUGCUGCUGGGUGCAGUUUUUGCAUCGCUGUCUGGAUCGACAGUUUUCUGUACGGUGAUUGUAGCGUAAGCAGUUCAAACAUAGAACUGGUUUGCUUAUGAAAGGUCUAACUCUAUUGAUACAGCAAAAUAUGCGGACAUUAGAUGGGAGCUUGUUUGCGCGAAAAGUUAUUCCGAUUUUAUUCGUUACAUGUUUUUGAUUUCCAUCAUAGCGAUGAAGACGAUUUAUGCUUAGAAUAGGAACAUCGAACAGGAUAUUAUCACUUAUUUCAUCGAUAGUCAUGUCCAUUGGCACACCGGCUACUACUCCUGAAACUGUAACGAAAUUUCUGGGUAUGUAUGCCUUGUAGCAAAAUUUGUUUAGCUCGGAGAGGUCCUGCAGCUCGUUGGCAGAUUGAUACGUGUUCAUAAAGACAAGAACUUUGUUCUUGCCUAGAGUGCGAAUGUUACAUACAUUAUUCCUGAGUGUCGCCACAUUCGACAGUAGACGCCCUACCGAAAGCUUGUCAAUACGUGCUUCAUUAUUUGUACCUUUAUUAUCCACUAGCUGUAUAAUAAUCCGAUAUGGAGCUGCAUCCGUUUCGUCGUAUAUAUAUUACUGGAAAUCUCUAUCGUUUUUCAUCCUGUUAGUUUCAUCUGGUGGUUUUUUCGCUGGAACCUCCAUUUUGGAGGUUAUGUACAGUUUUCACUGUUCGCUUUUUUGUCAGUUUAGAUAAUACUGUAUUUGAAUUCGGUAUUUAUACUAUGCCGACGAAGUGUAGUAAAACUAAGACAAAAUUUCGACUGUUAAAAAUUACUUCCGAGCUGAAAUUAAAGAAGUAGUUGUAGACCACGUGAAAAAUACGUCCUCUUCCUUUCACUCUAGAUCCGCCAUUUGUUGCUUUUGUUUCCACACAUAAGGCUGAUACAAAUUUCGAAUUCUUUUUAUGUCCAAGGUUAUCAAAGUUAGCAGAGGGGGUGGCAAAAAAUAAAUAACACCGAGACGAAAAAAAAAGAAAUAUUUUUGAUCAAAGUUUGUGUGCAAGUUAUAACUUGCACUCAAAUAAAUGUUGAAAAAUAACACUUUAUUAUUAUUUAUUUAGCUUGCCUUUCGACGACACUCUCGCUGUCACCUGACUUGAUUGUUGCUAAAUUAAGCAUUUAUGCUGUCGGAAAAUCAAUGAAAUGAACAAAACGGUUUGAGCUUUUUUUCUUCCCCUUCCAAUAUUCAAGAUUAUUGAAGGGGGGGGGGGGAUGACAUAGAAUGAAAAUAAAAUUUGUAACGGCCUAAAUUGACAAUUGCAUAUGAGUACUCGCGUAGGUGCGAACAGCGUUGAAAAUCUCAUUUACUUGUGUCAGGGCCAAUAAUUGUCGUUUUUUUUUGCUUCUGACGGUGGCAAGGCUCGCUGCCUAAAUACAUUCUUGAACAAACAUCUCAAACGAGUACUCACCAGCACGGCGCUUUUUUCCUAAACGUAUUUUGUCAUUGCUUCUACAAAAUUUGUAGAAUGACAAUUACAUAAUUCAACCUUUUUUUUUUGUUCGUCCGUCCCCUUGGCAAUAUUUUUCAUAUCGUUUGCAGCCCCUGGCUUGGAAUGUUCUAGCAGAGUGGGAGAGUUCAGGUAUCAAAUUGAACUAUGGUUUGUUUGAUUGCUUCAGUCAUGUUUCAAGAGCAAGAUUCAACAACAAAUGAAGUAUUAUAAAGAAAAAUUGCUUUGUCCACCAUCACUGAUUUUUCUUUCGCGUACCCCCUGAAAGCUUUCGAGUACCCCUAGGGGUACGCGUACCCCAGAUUGAGAACCGCUGACAUAAUUGAUCUCGUCUCAAUAUUUCUUAGAAAUAUAAUGAAGUAGACAGAAAUGAACCAAAACAACAUCGCCAAACGGAUGAUAGUGUGCAUCUCUCGGAUGCGCGAGUGUCAAUUGACCAUCUGUUCUUUGUGCGAGGAGCGACGGUCGUUCUACACUUAAGAGCGAAAGCCUGAUGACCAUUUAUCUCUGCCCUCCACAGGUUAUUUUAGCUAUUUGUUCGAAGGAAAGGAUAUCUACAAUUGGGUUGUUUAGCUAUAACCAACUGUCAUUGUAGCAAUUUGAAGCGAUUUUUAUUCUUCAUUUAAAAAUCGAACGAGAAUGAUAUAGAAUUUAAAAAAAUUAUCUUUUGCUCAGUAAAUUACACUCUUUCAACUGAUAUAUAAAAUUCCGUGAAUAGCCAAACAACCCAAUAGUCGAACAUGUGAUCGUGUCCUGAACAUCGCCAUGAUUUUUUGAAAUGCAAGGUAAAACAAAACUUCCAGGAAACUAGCGCAAAGUUUCACUCGUUUUUAAAAUUUUUUCUUCAAAUUCUGAAGAAACAAUUUUUAACUCAAAUAGUCAUCGAUAUACUUUCAACACAAGCUAUCUUGUUUUCAGAAUUUUUUCUUCAAAUUUUGAAGAAACAAUUUUUAACUCAAAUAGUCAUCGAUAUACUUUCAACACAAGUUAUCUUCAAGUUUUUUUUACGUAUUGUACAAUACAUAAAAAAAUUUUGGAGGUAAUCCUUAUUGUUCAUCCAGUUUGAUUUAGAUUUUUGUUUUUGACAAUAUGUUUACCACAUAUAUACACACUUAAAACUGGAUCUCGAGCUCGGCAAAAAAACAUCCGAGUUCACUCGGCAACUUUGGAUUCAACCGGUAUUUCAGCAAAAAAAUGCCGGUUGCCGACAGUUGUCAGAUCAUUUUGCCGAGACUUCGUCCAAAAAACUAAGCUUGACGAAUCUCGUCUCUAUUUUUUGCCGAAUUUAUCGUUAAACACUGUUGAUGCCGAGGUCAGCAAAAACAUUACUGGUAUCUCGGCACAAAUUUUACUCGUUGCCGUGUUUCGGCAAUACAGCUGUCAUUCUCAUGAACGAGUUGCCGUCAUUUUUCUUAGUGAAAAUUUUUGCGUGUUACGGGUGAGCAAACAGGAAUCGGAUACAAGUUUGGCUGAAAUUUGUGCAAAUUACAAGUGUUUACAAUCCAGUAGCCGAAAAAAAUGUAGUACAGUUUGGGGGGAAGUGGCUGGAACUCAAAAAGUGUAGUUUCAAAUUGUGUGAAUACAAUAUUGUAUUUGUUUUAGGGAUAGGCAUUAGACGUAAUUUUAGAUUAGAUGUUUAGCUCAAUGCCCUACUGGCGAGCAAGAUAAAGAUAAGUAUUCAAGAUUUAGUAUAAAUAAAUUUCUUU